rnacentral:rRNA from 1 species
UACGUAGGGUGCAAGCGUUAAUCGGAAUUACUGGGCGUAAAGCGUGCGCAGGCGGUUAUAUAAGACAGUUGUGAAAUCCCCGGGCUCAACCUGGGAACUGCAUCUGUGACUGUAUAGCUAGAGUACGGUAGAGGGGGAUGGAAUUCCGCGUGUAGCAGUGAAAUGCGCAGAUAUCAGGAAGAACACCCGUGGCGAAGGCGGCUCUCUGGGACGGUACUGACGCUGAGACGCGAAAGCGUGGGGAGCGAACAGG